UAAAUGUGUUACAUGUAGAUAUCGCCAACUUACGCACAUACAUUUUUAAUUCUCGUCGAUACGCAGAAAGUUACAACUAACGAGCGCAAUAACUCUGACCAACUUAUACUGAACAACUAUAUCUAUUUGGAAGCAUUCCAAAACGGAGGAUAUUCAUCAAUUAAGCUUUAGGGGAUCCGCAACUAUCUUUAAUGGGAUAUCUACGCACUGCAGUUCCUUAGA